rnacentral:rRNA from 1 species
UACGGGGGGGGCAAGCGUUGUUCGGAAUUACUGGGCGUAAAGGGCUCGUAGGCGGCCAACUAAGUCCGACGUGAAAUCCCCAGGCUUAACCUGGGAACUGCGUCGGAUACUGGUUGGCUUGAAUCCGGGAGAGGGAUGCGGAAUUCCUGGUGUAGCGGUGGAAUGCGCAGAUAUCAGGAGGAACACCAAUAGCGAAGGCAGCUCGCUGGGACGGUACUGACGCUAAGGCGCGAAAGCGUGGGGAGCGAACAGG